GCAGAGAGACAGACACAGAGAGAACAUAGAGAAGUAGAAUAGUAGAGGCCGGCCCUGAACACGUAGGGGUGAGGCGAGUGGGGAGAGAGCGGGAGCGAGAGAGCACCUGUGUCGUGUUUUAAAAAUGUGUCAGAAAAUUUAAAAGAAUGUUUUAUUUCACCCCAGGGCACCUUUUCAUUGCCAGUAGACCAGUCCAGUGAGCUAAAUAUCGUAAAUGUAAAAUUUCCUCUUGUCUUUUUAACACGUGUGCGUGUGCCUCUGAGUGAAGGUUCCCACAGAGGCCAGGAGAGGCCAUCAUCCUCUAAAGCUGGAGUUACAAGCAGUUCCGAGCAACACAACAUGGGUGCUGGGAACUGAACUGGCUCUUUGCAAGAAAUGGUCUUUAAAAUAUAUCAAUAAUGUUUAUUUAUCUUGCUAUAUGUCGCGUGUGAGUGUUUUGCCUUCGUGUAUGUUUGCACACCAUGUGCAUGCCUGGAGUUCACAAAGGUCAGAAGAAGGUGUCCAGACUGGGGUUAAUAGAGAGUCCCAAGCUACCAUGCGCGUGUUAGAAUCCAGGUCUUCUGCAAGAGCAACAAAUUUUCUUAUCCUCGAAGUUAUCUUUCCAGCCCACACAGCAAGUUCUCCUAAGUGCUGAGUCAUCUAUUCAGCCCCUAAAUUUCUAAAAAGUACUUGUGUGUGCAUGUACUCACGUGCACACACACAUGCACUCACACACACACACACACACACACACACCCCACAUGCACACACACUUGCCUGAGCAUAUGUAUGUGCACCACAUCCUGUAGGAGCCCAAGUAGGUCAGAAGAAGUGCCAGACCCCCUGGAACCGGAGUUACAGUUCCGAGCCAACAUGUAGAAGCUUGGAACUGAACUCAGUCCUCUGCUGUGGCACUGAGUGCCUUAUCUGCCAAGCCAUCUCGACAGCUGCCCUUAAAGUUGUUUUAUUUUAGAUUAAUUUCUGAUACAGAGAAGUCAUAAAAACAGUACAGAAUAUCUGUGUGCUUCUCUCCAGCUUUCUUUAACCGUGUGCUAAUUCUCACGUGUUUCUCUCCACAGUCUGUUGGUCGUUGCUUUAAGCACCUUACUUAAAGCGUCACAUGACAUUUUUGUUUUCUUCGUGGCCUCCUGCCUGCUCCUCAGUCUUCCCUUAUCUUUCCGCGUCUCUCGUGACCGAUGUUUUUGGGCAGUAUUGGUUGUUCACAGAAUGCCCUUCAGUGUGAGCUUAUCUGUUGCCUCCUCAGGAUUAGAGUGGCCUAGGUGUUGUGGACAAGAAGACCACAGUGCCAUGCCAGUGCAUGACAUCAGGUUCGUGAUGUCUUGGAGGUACUUGGAGAUGACUGAUAGUGCUUGCUGGGUUUUGCCACAGUAAGAAACAUUGUGAUUAAGACAGGUCCCGAGGGGUGUUUGUACACUGGAAAUGUACAGAUAAACAAGGGCAUUAGUGUGUGCAGUGGCCAGAGCCUGGCCUGUAACAACUUCUCAGCAGUGACUAACUCCCUUCCAUGUCAGCGUGGCCUCUGUCGGUGUCUGCUGUGCUGCUGUUAUCGUUCCCACUCGUUGCCCACUGGCCUGUGCUCACACCGACCCACUGCAACUGUCACUGGCUGUGACAAAUAUCUGUGGGUAUUAAGAAUCUGUGCCUUAAGAAGGGAGCAGAGAGGCUGGGCACGGUGGUACGCACCUGUAAUCACAGCUCUCGGCGGGCAGAGGCCGGAAGAUCGAUAGCAAGAUCCCCAGUUGAGAAGACAACCAGUCAACAAGACAGAUGAACUCAACGUAGGGGUCAGGCGGCGGAUGAGGCCUCUGCCCUGGGUAUGUCUAAGCUAGCAGUGUCUUGCCUCACGGGGAGGGUGUGGUGCUGGACCACACCCCUCUUGCUGGAGGUCUGGACAGUACUCUGCUAGGCAGGAUAGAGAGAUAACCCACCUAGCUGAGUGCUUGAGGCAGGAGUGAAUCCCAACUGGCUAGGGCAGACUGGCUGCAAGAGUAACCUUUAGGAGGAGGGCCAGGUUGGGUGGAGAGAGCCCCAAAACCUGUGGGAAGCUGGCCCUUCCAGAGCCAGGCCGUCUUGGCCUGCUCUCAGAAUAGGCUUCAGAGCUGAGUCCCUCUCGGCUGCCUUAGCCAGUGGGCGGCAAGCACAGCAAACAAGACUGCUCCUCAGGAGGCCCGGUCUGUGCCAGCACACAACUUUAUUUGCUGGGUGGCUGCUCUUGGCAGCUUCCUCCUCCUCCCAGACUCUUUUCCUACUUAGGAGCGUUUGGCUCUAUUUUUACCCAGAGAUGGGAUGAUUCUCGUGUUUGAAAAUAACAGCCACGGAGAGAAUUGUUGUGGCUGCUGCUUCAGCCCGCCAGGCAGCAAUGUCCAUCCUUCUCUUGGAGACAGAUGCGCUGAGGGCAUGGGGUGGGGGUGGGCCGUAGGAGGGAUGACAAGUGGCCCUUCGUGACUUGCCCACAGCCUGUGCCAUGACAGAUGCUUUUUUUUUUUUUUUUUGCGUGGUUUAAUGGGGGAAAUGUCAUGGGCAUCUCUCGGAGGCCCUUAAGGAAGCUCGUGAAGGUGAGAAUCAGGGCUGUGCAUCUCUGGAGGAGUGAAGAGGGGAGGUGGACGAAUCCAGCUGCGGGUGCCUCAGAUUCCUACCCCAAGAUGUCCACAGUGAUGACAGCUUGUGACCCUGAUCCUGGGUCCUGGAAAGGGGCACGGAUGUGUUUGUCUUGACGCAAAGAACGUUAAGUGGCAAAAGUUAGGAAGUCAUGGGGAUGCCCUUCCUUUUCUUCAGGUGAGUUCAGGGCAGGUCUGAAGACUCCUGGAUGAGGAGAUCCAACUUCUCACCCGGCUUGAGAUGAUGCAUCUUCCGCACGAUCGAGAUGCUGGCUUUACAGUCAUGCAGCAAGCUGGAGCCUCCACAGCCACGGAGGCUUUUGUCUGAUUGCAGAGGAGAUCCUGUGAGCAAGGAGCAGGGUGGAAUCCCUGUGGGGAUCCCCUGAGAGGACGAGGUGGGAAGCCGUGAGAGCAAAGAAAACUCUAGAUGCCAGGAUUGUGGGGCACCUGCCAAGAAAAACCACACAGCUCAAGUAGUGACAGCCCAAGAGAGAAGCCAUGCAGAGGACAAAUGAUAAAUAACAGGACUGAAAGACUUGGUCUCACCCAUGUGCUCUGAAGGUUGGAUGCAGGUACAGGACGUGAUUUCUGCCCCGUCUGGGCUUGCCUUGCUUUGGUGUUAGGAAUGUUUACUCAGUAUAUCUUGUACUCAUGCUAAGUGACCUUUGACUUCUGCAGUUCAGGUAAGAGCUUACCUUGAGUCCCAGAGGACACUUCGAUUUUGGACUUUUGAACAAUGCUAGGACUUAAAACUAUGGAGAGCGGGUGUAUUUUCAUUGUGAGACAUAUGUAGGAAGCUGGGGCGAAAUGUUAUCUGUAAGGACGUGUGCUUGCUCUCCAUGUUGACAAGGGGUGGUUUCCAGAUGGUUGACCUCCAUUAGCAAAUUAAUUGGGUUGAGAAGGGCCUUUGGUGGUUAAUAAAGCAGAUGUGUGAUUGAU
rnacentral:sRNA from 1 species